rnacentral:rRNA from 1 species
GCCAAAAAUCUAGCCCCCCCCACCUCUUUAAAAUGCCUUUUUAACUUGAUAAAAUUAAACAAACCAUUUCUUCAAUUAAGUAUCGGCGAUAAAAAAAUUAACUGGAGCUAUAAAACUAGUACCGCAAGGGAAAGCUGAAAUAUAAAUGAAAUAAACACUUAAGCAUAAAAAAGUAAAGACCUCCCCUUGUACCUUUUGCAUCAUGGUUUAACUAGUCCUUACCAAGCAGAAAGAAUUUUAGUUUGACCCCCCGAAACUAAGUGAGCUACUCCAAGGCAGCCCUAUGGGCCAACCCGUCUCUGUUGCAAAAGAGUGGGAAGACCUUUGAGUAGAGGUGAUAAACCAAACGAACUUAGUGAUAGCUGGUUACUCGAUAAAAGAAUUUUAGUUCUACCUAAAGCCCUCAAUAAGUCUUAUAAACUAGCACUAAUGCUUUAGAGCUAUUCAAAUAAGGUACAGCCUAUUUGAACAAGGAAACAACCUAAACUAAUGGGUUAAUUCUGCAACAACAUACCAAAGUGGGCCUAAAAGCAGCCACCUUUAAUAAUAGCGUCAAAGCUUUUCUACACACGCAUACCAAUUUCUCAACCCAAUCUUAACCCUUUAUCCCCAUCGAGUAAUUCUAUAUCCCUAUAGAAUAUAAAAUGUUAAAACUAGUAACAAGAAGAAAGCCCUUCUCUCAAAUGUCCAUAUAAGCCAGAAAGGAUAAACCACUGUCAAUUAACACUAAUGACUUUUAAUUAGCAACACCACAAGAAAACCCUAAUAAAACAAGUGUUAAACUAACACAAGAACAUUUCAAGAAAGAUUAAAAGAAAAAGAAGGAACUCGGCAAACACCAACCCCGCCUGUUUACCAAAAACAUCGCCUCUUGAUAAAUAUAAGAGGUCCAGCCUGCCCAGUGACCUAGUUCAACGGCCGCGGUGUCCUCUCCGUGCGAAGGUAGCGUAAUCACUUGUUCUUUAAAUGAGGACUAGUAUGAAUGGCAUCACGAGGGUUACACUGUCUCCUUUUUUUAAUCAGUGAAACUAAUCUUCCCGUGAAGAAGCGGGAAUUUUUUUAUAAGACGAGAAGACCCUAUGGAGCUUUAAACAAAUUAACAUUUGCUGCCUAAAAUAUCUUUUCCAGAAACACAACCCACAGCAUAGCAUCAUGAUUAAUAGUUUUAGAUUGGGGUGAUCACGGAGUAAAAAACAACCUCCAUGCCGAAAGGAGCCUUCCUGAGCAAAAAGCCACAACUUUAAGCACUAAAAAAAAUUAACGUUUAUUGACCCAAUAUUUUGAUCAACGAACCAAGUUACCCUAGGGAUAACAGCGCAAUCCACUUCAAGAGCUCCUAUCGACAAGUGGGUUUACGACCUCGAUGUUGGAUCAGGGUGUCCCAGUGGUGCAGCCGCUACUAACGGUUCGUUUGUUCAACGAUUAAAACCCU